CCUACGGGUGGCAGCAGUGGGGGAUAUUGGACAAUGGGGGGAACCCUGAUCCAGCGACGCCGCGUGAGUGAAGAAGUAUUUCGGUUUGUAAACCUCUGUUAUCAGGGAAGAAAGAAAUGACGGUACCUGACUAAGAAGCCCCGGCGAACUACGUGCCAGCAGCCGCGGUAAUACGUAGGGGGCAAGCGUUAUUCGGAAUUACUGGGUGUAAAGGGGGCGUAGGCGGGAUAGUAAGUCUGAUGUGAAAUACCAGGGCGCAACCCUGGGACUGCUUUUGAAACUAUUAUACUAGAGUGCAGGAGAGGUAAGCGGAAUUCCUGGUGUAGCGGUGAAAUGCGUAGAUAUUAGGAGGAACACCAGUGGCGAAGGCGACUUGCUGGACUGUAACUGACGCUGAGGCGCGAAAGCGUGGGGAGCAAACAGGAUUAGAUACCCGUGUAGUC
rnacentral:rRNA from 1 species